rnacentral:rRNA from 1 species
GAUAGGAAUUCCACGUGUAGCGGUGAAAUGCGUAGAGAUGUGGAGGAACACCAGUGGCGAAGGCGACUCUCUGGUCUGUAACUGACGCUGAGGAGCGAAAGCGUGGGGAGCGAACAGGAUUAGAUACCCUGGUAGUCCACGCCGUAAACGAUGAGUGCUAAGUGUUAGGGGGUUUCCGCCCCUUAGUGCUGCAGCUAACGCAUUAAGCACUCCGCCUGGGGAGUACGGUCGCAAGACUGAAACUCAAAGGAAUUGACGGGGGCCCGCACAAGCGGUGGAGCAUGUGGUUUAAUUCGAAGCAACGCGAAGAACCUUACCAGGUCUUGACAUCCUCUGACAAUCCUAGAGAUAGGACGUCCCCUUCGGGGGCAGAGUGACAGGUGGUGCAUGGUUGUCGUCAGCUCGUGUCGUGAGAUGUUGGGUUAAGUCCCGCAACGAGCGCAACCCUUGAUCUUAGUUGCCAGCAUUCAGUUGGGCACUCUAAGGUGACUGCCGGUGACAAACCGGAGGAAGGUGGGGAUGACGUCAAAUCAUCAUGCCCCUUAUGACCUGGGCUACACACGUGCUACAAUGGACAGAACAAAGGGCAGCGAAACCGCGAGGUUAAGCCAAUCCCACAAAUCUGUUCUCAGUUCGGAUCGCAGUCUGCAACUCGACUGCGUGAAGCUGGAAUCGCUAGUAAUCGCGGAUUCCAGCAGCCGCGGUAAUACGUUCCCGGGCCUUGUACACACCGCCCGUCACACCACGAGAGUUUGUAACACCCGAAGUCGGUGAGGUAACCUUUUAGGAGCCAGCCGCCGAAGGUGGGACA